rnacentral:lncRNA from 1 species
AUUUUCUCCCUUCAGAUAACUAACUAAAAAAUAAAUAAAAACAAAAAAAGACGAUAAGAGAUCAAGUUGGAUCGAGUCACGUUUGAAAUGGCAGGCGGUCGGGAUGGAUCGGGUCAUGUUCGAAGUAGUAUGUGAGACUGGUUGGAUCGAGUACUAAUCGGGAUCUAUCAGCGUUGUGUCUGUAUACUUUAAAUAAAUUGGUUGUAUAUUUCUAACCGCUCGAGUUUUUGGGACCGGCGGCAUCUACUUAAUCUAUUACAAAGUAAAGCUUAAAU